rnacentral:rRNA from 1 species
AAGGGCUCACCAAGGCGACGAUCCCUAGCUGGUCUGAGAGGAUGAUCAGCCACACUGGAACUGAGACACGGUCCAGACUCCUACGGGAGGCAGCAGUGGGGAAUAUUGCACAAUGGGCGCAAGCCUGAUGCAGCCAUGCCGCGUGUGUGAAGAAGGCCUUCGGGUUGUAAAGCACUUUCAGUCGUGAGGAAGGUAGUGUAGUUAAUAGCUGCAUUAUUUGACGUUAGCGACAGAAGAAGCACCGGCUAACUCCGUGCCAGCAGCCGCGGUAAUACGGAGGGUGCGAGCGUUAAUCGGAAUUACUGGGCGUAAAGCGCAUGCAGG